ACGUACCACUCAUACGCUCCGGUUCCUCCGCGGCGUUCGCAAACACCUGACGACUGCUCGCUAGGUUUUAUUAGCC
rnacentral:sRNA from 1 species